AUUUUACUCCCUUCGUUUCAAAAUUCUUGUCUUUGAUUUGUGUAGAUAUGAAUGUAUUUAGUCAUGUAUUACUAUUAUUUAGAUGCAUUUAUUUUUAAAUAAAUUUAAAACAAUAAUUUUAAGACGGAGAGAGUACAAG
rfam:Hordeum vulgare subsp. vulgare, WGS project CAJW01000000 data, contig: morex_contig_66005